GGGGCUGACUGGUUUUGACAGCAAGGAGAUGGAUUUGUAAGCAUGCAGGCUCACGCAUCAGCAGCCUUGAAAACCGAUGCGCAACAAUAAUUGGCGAAAAUAACUACGCUCUUGCUGCCUAACCGAAGCACAGUAGGUAAGGCUUAAUCCCCGCAACAGUUGCAGGGACAAGACGUCUCCCACAAGCCCUGACCGUCGGCGUGUGAUCAGGAGGCGCUCGCAAAGACGGGAUAGCCGGCAUAAAUCCUCGCAUUGCCGUUGAAAUUUUAGAGGAUAAGGGUUGCCUUGGGUGUCCGCGUCCGGAGCCGCCUCGAAAAUCAACCACGGAAUAAGCAUGUAGAAAGCACGUCAGUCGCUUGUUUGGACGGCGGUUCGACUCCGCCCAGCUCCACUU
rnacentral:tmRNA from 1 species